UCCUCUUCUUGUGUAAUAAUUCCACAAUUUUCUUCCCAUUGUGGUCACCUGGAAAUUCCAAUGCUCAUGUGAUCAUAUGACAACUUCCAACCGGGGAGAGUGAAGGCGCUUCCUCCGAGACAUACAAAGCCAAAAAAACACGUUUUAUGUUUUCAAACUGCUGCUUAUGCUGCGUCACAGGGCAGAGUAACACACUCAAAGGAAAGCACUAUCUGCCCUCUUCCAAAUGCAGAUGCCCAUGAUUGGCUAGUGUCACUGUGACUGACAGGUACAGAAAGGAUGCCAUCCAUCCCACCAGAAAGCAUGGCUAAUUUCACUUCCUUCCCUGCCAGCCAAAGAUGGCUAUGGAUUCGUCAGGAUUCAAACGUGCAAUCUCCUGACAAUAGGGUGAACGCUUUUAUGUUGCUCCACUCAGGAGCCAAUCUCCUGUUUGUUUACACUCUCACAGGCUCACAUUCUCUGUCUCCUGAGCUGCCUGUCACUGUGUAGCCUUGUUUCAUGCCUAAAGUUUGGACGUGAUGACAUUUGACAAAUCUGAGCAUUUGUCAUAACUGUGUAUACGUUUCCCUCCAGUUCCAACCCGACACCCCUAACACAACAAUGACUGUGAGAAUUACAAGAUUGUCAGGAUGUAACUCACAGCAGCUCAGGAGCACUAUAUAGUGUAGAACACACUGCAUUGUUUGUUCUCUCCUGACUCAAUAAACAUGACGCAAAAUCCUACGUGCUGUUGCCUUAAUGUAACAGUGGCAAAACUGGCCUCAGAUGUUUACCACACAUUCACACCUCCUCUGGCACUGUGAAGCUGUGAAAAGCUACACUCACAUGUAUCCUGCUAUAUGAACAAACAAAAUUGUUUUUAUUUUAUGCUCAUAUUGUAUUUUUUUUUGUGCACUUUUUUGAUGUAUCUCACAGCCUUUAAUUGGUGUUAUUUUGAAAGCACAGUUCUACAUUCUGAGUCUCACAGAGAUCUAAAUUUGCAAUGGUUAUCAAGGACAAAUAGUAGACACAAAACCUAUUUUACAUGUUAUCUUUUAGCUGUCCUUUGUAUGUUCUGUAAUUCAUAAAAUUAUUCUUUGUAAAUCAGUCAUAACUUUUUGCAUACACUAUGCAAAAAGUAUAUAUAAUUUCUGCCCAUGCACAUACAAAUUAGUACAUUAUUUAGGAUCGUAUUAAAUCAGGGCCUAACUGUACACCACACACAUAUAUGCAAUUCUUUCCAUUUCACUCAUGCUUGUAAACCUCCAUAAACCCUUCACACUUUGAGUCACAUGGAUUUAGGAACCCCGCUAAUCUCUAAACACCCCCCCCCACACACACACAGACACACACACACACACACGUGUGCAUUCAUGCAUCCCACAAAUAUCUCCUUCACUCUGACGCACAGUUAGAUACCCACCAACACACUCUCUCACCCUGCAACUACAACCUCAUUUCUAUUCAGCUCUCAAACGAAUCUUUGUUUCUCCUUUUUCGUAAACCACACUUCAUCUCAGCCUUCUUAUAUGUGUGGAAAAGUGCAGAAAAACUGCCUGAAGUAACAAGUGAGACAAACAGUAAGAGGAAGUCCAGAUUAAGGAGAUGGUUAGAUAGAAAGACGAGAGCGAGAAUGAGAGAGACCGACAGAGAGAGAAGUGAGUUAGGGGAGGAGAACGCCAUUAGGGAGAAAGUGCGUAGUCAUGCUGCAGGAAUGCUGGAGGGGAGAUGGCUGGCGUGACUGCCGCCAUUUUUCACAGCCUUAAUCAGAGACACCUGUCAGUGUGCGAGGCGGAGGAGUGGAGUGGGAUAGUGUAGAGGGGGCAGAAGUGGAGUUGGAGUGCCUGCUGUGCUUGGUGGAGCUGGAGUCCACAUGAGGUUUAUUUAUUUUUCUUUAGCAGAGCAGAGGGAGAGGGUGGAGAGAAAAGAGAGGAUAGAGUCAGGCAGAGCUCUCUAAAGGGGGCAGGGUGAGUCUUCCAUCCUUCCUUCCUUCCUGCUGCUGCUGUGCUGCUGGCCUGCAUUGAGCAGAAUAUAUGACCAUCUCCUUGUCAUAGUGUAAUUUCUCUAGCCACGGUGUAAUCUCAUACUCAUCUGAAAUUACAACCAUUUGUGUUAAUGGUACUUUGAUAUACUACUAUAUAUCUCCCAAACACAUUUAAGCCAUUAAAGUGUAAUCAAAGUGCUUUAUUUUUAGUGGGGGUGUUUAUUAUGUUGUUUGUAUCGCCACAUAUUAGAGUGUAUUAGAGUCUAUUAGAGUGCUAUAUAUCAUACACACCCAGUGAACACAUCUCUCCAUGCAUUUCUGAAUAUGACCACAUCUUCUUUAUGCAUCAUAUUAGAAUUGAGUGAAGUCACUGAGCUCCUUUGUCAACAUAAGGAUGCAUAUAUUUAUGUUUGUGUGGAUACAUAAUAGAAACUUGAGGGAGGGAAGCAUCACCACAGAGAGAUGUGUAAACAUCGGCACAGGAAGGCUGGCUCAGUUUAAAUAGGACAAACAUUUAUGCAAUAGAGUGAAGGUGAAAUAAGCAAGCUUCUAGUUUGUUUAUGUGCACUGAAAUGUGUAUUGUGGAAUGGGUUUGGUCUGCCAUGGCAACUUUUAAUGAGCUUACUAAUGUUUCUUCAUUUGUUCCAACCAAAACUUCCUUCUUCAUGGAGUUUGCAAAGUGUUUCACAGUACAUUUAUUUACAUUUAUUUAUUUGGCAAGCCCUUUUAUACAAAAUAAUCCAAGCAUACUGCUGAGCAAUUGAGAGUCAAGGGCCUUGCCCAAGGAUCCAGCACUGACUCUCUAGCAGGCCUAGGAGUUGAACACACAAGUUAGUAGAACAGACCCUUAAGCACUGAGCCAGCACUGCUGCUAAAGUAAGCUCCGAUAAGAAUACUGAUGUCAGGUGCUGAUUCGCUCAGCGACUGCUGGAAGGAGAAGGCUUGGACAGGGAUCAGACACUUGGCUCGGACCCCAUUUUCCAUAAUAUAUUCUUCUCAAAUGGACUAUAUGCACUAGAUAAAAUGCAGAUGAUGAUGGAUACUGAAAUAAAGUAAGCCAUUGAUAAAUCAAUGAAAUGUGAACAAAGUUCUAGUCAGAACUAAAAGGAAGUCAAUAUAGCAACUAUUUCCAGUACGUACUGAUUAAUGAUUAGCGAGUAUUAAGUAAAUUAGGUUACUGCUAGACCAAACUCUUUUGCCUACACUGUUUGUUUAAUUCCCCUUCAAAUGAAAUAGGCUUAAAAACCUAUAAAAUCCUUAAACUCCUAGUACCCAUUGGUGGGUGCCGACUUACAGUACAUUCCUCUUUUAACUGCAUAUUGGGGUGUAAAGAAAUGCCUCUAUCUGUAUCUGUAUCUACAUCUGUUUAGUGCUCCAAAUAAUCUUAUCUGUAUCUGUAUUCGAAUGAAUACCUGAAGUGGAUGUGGCCUAAACCAGAAAGAAUAUGUGCUCAUGCAGGUUUUAUGUUUGUUUGCACCUGACCACAACAUUUUCUAACCAGUUUAGUUGGUUCUAUUUGUCAAAAUAUAGGUUUAAACAAACUAGUAGCCUAAUUUAAACAACUGUAACACUAACCAGGCAGUUACUAAGGAUACAUGAAUGAAAGCUGUAAAUUAAUGUAUAAUUUACUGCUCACAUGACAUUUUUGUUGUCAUGUGGGAUAGCAGUCCCGAUCCUCAGCUCUUCUCUCAACCAGAUUAUGCCAUGUGAACCUUUCUGGCAAAUAAAAAACAAUAGUGCACCUCCUAUUUGUGUCUGUAUUUAGAACACAUUAUCUGUUCAUUCAGAAUAAUGUAUUUGUAUGGUUAAUUAGGUGUUCUGUUGUUACUGAAUGAAUCAUAUUAGUUACUGAAUACUACGUUGAAUAAUAAGCUUAGACUUCAAGGGGUUAAUGUAAACAUAGUACUGUUUUGCAGGCUGUGACCACACAUUCUGAUGUUUUCGGUGUUUACCAAGACCACAGCAAGUGUGAUCAAACCUGACCAAAGAGGACGUGUUUGUGUUCUAUUUUGGUCUUGAAGAACUCCCCUCUGUUUUCAUUUCCUGUGCACAUGACCAUAUCUGAUUAUUGUAGUCCCUCAUCUGUCUGACAGCCCCCACAUGUCUGGUUAUGUGGUUACGUGUGUAAUUUCUAUAUGAAUUUAAAACAUAAACGUCUCUCCUUUGUCCUCACAUACACUCUGUUAUCAGGCCUUGGGUUCAGCCUGACACUACCCCGACCUCUUUUUUUGACCUCCAUAGACCAAAGCUCAGAACCACUGUGGCCCAAUCCUGCUGGGAUUAUUUAUCAGCACAUCUCCCUAUUGCUAAACACACUCUGUGGCUUUUGUCACAUUCUAAGAGCCAAUGCAAACGUCCCAGUGAAAUUCCAGUCCAUUUCAGAAAUGUUUUCUUUAAUUCCAAGACAUAGUCAAGAUACAAUUAGCAUAUUUGCUUAUCAUUGAUAUUUAAUCAAAUUAAAAGUUAUCAACAAGAGAGAUUUCCCCAGGAGCUGGGGGGCUUUCUUGGUACUUUCCGAGCCACUCUGAUUCCUCUGCUGGCAGAGCUGUUUGGUGUCAGAUUGUUUACUUACUGCUGAGUCCCGUCACUAUGAGUCAUCCAGUGAACCUGGUCCUUUAGAGAGUUCAACAGUCAACUUUAAUGUUUCACAAUGCCUGCUGGCCUCUGAGGUCUCUCUCUCUCUCUCUCUCUCUCUCUCUCUCUCUGUCUGUCUGUCUGUAUGGGCAGUGUGUCAGUAAAACUUCUGCCCAUUGUUUGUGUUUGUAAACAUUUAGUAAAUAUUUAAGUCAUUUGGCUGCAUUAUUAAUUCAAUAUUUUGUAUUUGUACUGUGUAACUUUUUCUUUCUUUUUUUUUUUUUUAGCAGACAGGUAACAACAGCCUUGUGGUACAGCAGAUGCAAGGUAGUAAGUGUGACACCUUGCUCUCUACUUUCGUCGGUCUGAGCAGACCAAAUGUCAGGAAGUGAAGUCAUUUCCUGCCCCAGGGUGGAAAGUUGCCUCAGAGUAGAAGACCCCUACAUUGUUUCUUCUUCUUUUGUAUAUUAUUAGAUAUGAAAAGAUUUGAAGAUUCCAAGUGACAUUUAAAGAUGGUCUGAAAUCAGGUUUGUGGUGUGUGACUGUAAAUCAUGCUACGUAAAUUUAGAAUACAGGGAUGCCCAAAACCAGUGCAACAGAAAUAUAAUACUGAGCAAUUUUUUUUUUUUUUUUUACAGUUUUACUAUUUGAUUUGAUUUUUACUGCACUGUAUUCAUCUGAUGGCCUUAAUAAUUAACCUGGAGUUGUACACCAAUAGUGAAUGUACAUAGUGAUGAUUAACUCAUUGAGGCUAAAGUCUCCUUUUCAGCUGGACUCUAUUAAAAAAAAGCAAAUAUGGAGCACAGAUGAGACAAACAAAAUAUAAUUAUAAAAUAGGCAAUAUAGUUGAAAAGCUUCAACUAAAAAUACAGUAACCUAACUAGCUAAAAGUGACCUAAACUGAGUAAAUGGUAAAAGAGUUUAAGAGUCAUUUGACAUCAGUAAUGAGGAAAUUGAAACAUUAAAAUCUGACCUAUGAUGUGAUCAUUUAUGCUGAUAUUUACUUCUAAAGGUUACAACAGACCAAAUAAAAUGGUAAGCUAUACUGGAAACUUUUUCCAAGUACUAUAAAUGAAAACAUGGUAUGUUGUCUCAGCAGUAACAAAACACAAUGCAUUGUGGUUUGAAACCUCCAAGUGACUUCCCUACUGAAACAGCAGCGCUCAUAUAAAUUUUGUCCUUAAUCACAAAUCCUCGGAAGUCGUUUUAUACAGCUAUUGCGACAGAAGAAAUGAGGACCAAAAAAAGCAGCGAAGUCCAUCUGCUCCAGCCGCGAGCGCCAUGAACGCUUCCUCCCUGAGAUGGACACCUCCAGCGUCCGCCCACUAGGGUUGCCACCUUUAACCCUGAGGUCAGGGGCUGAGGUGAAGAUGCUCAUAGUGUUCCAGUGUUGCAUCUGUCUUCAUUUUAUUAACUGCCUGGAACAUCCUUAACCCCUGGAUCACUGCCUCCCAACAAUCCCUUAUAAACACAAAUAAUAACACACACACACACACACACACACACACAAAUGUCUUACAAUCCUUGUAAGAAUCCUUGUUCCACUGACGUAAUUAUUAAUGCAGCUAAUUAAUACUAUGCCUACAUCUAUCCUAACAUUAACAUUUAAAAGGAAAUAUUUAGCCUCUUUUAAAUAAACACACACACACACACACACACACACACAAUGAAACAUCAAAAUGUACAACUAUAUUUUUAUGAUUCUGAGUCUAGCUGUCUAGAGAGAAGCCCCAUAUUUCUGCAUAUCCAAAAGUGGUAUAAUAUGUCAUGAGAAUUUUAAAAGUAAUGCACAAUUUAAAAAAGACAUUUUUUUUUAGAUUUAGUUGUUUUGUUGGCCUUUGAGAUCUGGAACUGUUUAUCUCGGUGACUUUGAGCAAACUAACACUCAGCAGAACACUGCUAUUUUCCAGUCAUACUUUAAAUAGCCCUUGUGGUUACCAAUAUGGAUAAUGAAUAACAUUAAAACAUGAAUUGAAUAUGUAGGUUGAGUAUAUUGAAUGUAGCAUGAUGAGGAUGUAAGAAAUUCAUAAUUAAAGAGACAGACCUAAAAUAAGAGCUGUAGUACUACCAUACAAGGUCAGAGACAAGUAUAAGAAAAGAAGAAGAAGAAGAAGAGUGAGAGA